GACUGUAGAGAGUAAUUGUAUUUACAGCUAAAGAGGAAUUAGGUCUGUCAUGUGACCACAUGUGUAUUUAUGCCAGAACUACUGUGGUGACCUUUUAAUAUCACAUUGUUUGUAACCUCUUUGUAGCAAAUAAUUGUUUGGGGGAAAAUAGAAGCGCUUUGACAGGGGGGAAGGCCUUUGUAUCCACAGAGUGGAAGAUUUCAUCCUUAGCAUACCAAUGAAGCAAGAAGUGAGCUGCACCGAGCGGGAGAGAACAUAUAAAUCUGACUUCCUUUGACCUUUAAUCUGGAACACCAAGAAGAGAAAUGCACUCGGAAAGUUGGUGUGUUGCUGGUUAGAGACUGAUAAGCUGUAAUAAAGGCCAUUAUCUCCUCCAGGCAUUCAUUCAGAAGACACACAGUAUCCUUAGCUGAGGUUGUUUUUGAAGGCAUGGAGAAAUAUAUUUGGAUAUCACCAGCAUACUGAUAACAUCCUGCCCCAUGGCUCCGGAUGAUCUCUCCCAGCGGUUUCCUGCCCUAAAAGCUGCACACUUUAUCUAUGUUCUUCUUGGCCAGUUGGUGACUGUAUGGAGGAUCAUUGGAUGGUAGAGGUAUUAACAAGCUGGUCAGAAACACGAGAAGCUCUGUGAUGUAGUGGUUUGAGAAUAGGACUCUAGAGAGCAUGGUUCUAAGAAAGCUCCCCAUAAACAAAAAUUACAAAGGAAACCCCAUUGUGGAUUCUCCUUAUGACUUGAAGGAAGAUAACAACAACAGGAACAUGAUAUGUUCAUGUCAGAAUUAUAUGGCCACCAGUGUAUAUGUCGCCUGGAAAAAUAGAAAAAUGAGAGAGUCCAAGAUAAGAGGCCACCACGACACCAACACCCUCCUCCAGGCUGCUGCGGGCCCAGGAGAGCCUUGCCAUCGCCCUUCUUCAGAUUUGUUGUUGUUGUUUGUUUGUUUUGGUAAUGGAUGUUUGCCACUUUGUUACUUUUGCCUGUAAACUGCCCUGAGUCCAUUUGGGAAGAUAGGGUCGGUUAUAAAUAUAUUAUUAUUAUUAUUAUUAUUAUUAUUAUUAUUAUUAUUAUUAUUAUUUUAGACUGGUCCUGUAAGCAAAAACCAACUCUUGCAUACCUGUAAUCUCUACCUGAAUUCAGGUAAGUAUAGAGAAUGUUCUCAUUUUAUAAAAAACAAGAAUAUUAAGAAGAUCCAAUUUAAUUGUUUAAAACUCUUUAUCCUCUCCUUUAAUCAAUAAUACAUACCAGACAUGACACAAAUAGGAGAGUCUUUUUAUGGCAUGAGGGAAAAAAUGUCACAGUAGUACAACCUGGCUGGUUUGAUGAAAAUCCCCUGUCUCCUAGUAAUAAGUCUCAUACCUUCAAUGUACUUGUGAAAUGCUUGCUGUGCAUGACAUAUAACAUAACUUAAUGGAGAUAAUUAAAUCUGUCUCAUCUAAAAUAACUGUCUCAAAUAGCACAAUUAAAAAAGGUGAAAUAAUAUCUGUAGGCAUAGUUGUCCUCCCAAGUGGGACACAUAAAAUGUGAAGAUGAAUUACUAUGUUGUGACAGUGAUAUUUUUAUUCUAGGAGAUUUAUGGGCUGUUGCUUUUAGGUUGCUGAUAGGAUUUCCAUUCCCAUUCAACAUGCUUCCCCCUUCAGUUUCCUUACUUGGUCAUUAUCAAAUACCUCCAUCUUGUUUAAAUAACAGAGUACUUAACCUCUGUUUGAUGUUGAGAAUGUAGGGCUGCUGAAAUUACAACAAAGAGGAUAUGAGCACGCAUGUGUGUGCACGUGGAGAACUUUAACUUUCCUUGAAAAUAUUGCUCAGCCAGCUCAUUUAUUUGCAUUCUGCUGAAACAGUUGUCUGUGUGUGUGAGGGGCGAGGGGAGAAUUUUUUCAUUUCUUUGAAUUUACAAUGAAUGUAUUGCCUUCCUAUGGUUAAUCUGGACAUCGCUAAAAUAAGUAGCUUUACUUAAAGUUUAAUUGAGCCCAAUGAGAUUUUUUCAAACACAUUAUGUAUGGGUUU